rnacentral:rRNA from 1 species
CCAGACUCCUACGGGAGGCAGCAGUGGGGAAUAUUGCACAAUGGGGGAAACCCUGAUGCAGCGACGCCGCGUGAGUGAAGAAGUAUUUCGGUAUGUAAAGCUCUAUCAGCAGGGAAGAAAAUGACGGUACCUGACUAAGAAGCCCCGGCUAACUACGUGCCAGCAGCCGCGGUAAUACGUAGGGGGCAAGCGUUAUCCGGAUUUACUGGGUGUAAAGGGAGCGUAGGUGGCAUGGUAAGCCAGAAGUGAAAACCCGGGGCUCAACCCCGGGACUGCAUUUGAAACUGUCAGGCUGGAGUACAGGAGAGGUAAGUGGAAUUCCUAGUGUAGCGGUGAAAUGCGUAGAUAUUAGGAGGAACACCAGUGGCGAAGGCGGCUUACUGGACUGUAACUGACGUUGAGGCUCGAAAGCGUGGGGAGCAAACAGGAUUAGAUACCCCUGUAACC